CAUGUCUAAGUAUAAGCUUUAAACGGCGAAACUGCCAAUGGCUCAUUAAAACAGUUAUAGUUUAUUUGGUGAUCGAUUACUAUUUGGAUAACCGUAGUAAUUCUAGAGCUAAUACAUGCGUCAAGGCCCGACUUCGGAAGGGCUGCGUUUAUUAAAUACAGAACCAACCUAGGCUCCGCCUAGUCCUUGUUGGUGAUUCAUAAUAACCCGGCGAAUCGCACGGCUUGUCCGGCGAUGGACCAUUCAAGUUUCUGACCUAUCAGCUAUGGACGGUAGGGUAUUGGCCUACCGUGGCGUUGACGGGUAACGGGGAAUUAGGGUUCGAUUCCGGAGAGGGAGCCUGAGAAACGGCUACCACAUCUAAGGAAGGCAGCAGGCGCGCAAAUUACCCAAUCCUGAUACAGGGAGGUAGUGACAAGAAAUAACAAUACAGGGCAAUUCUGUCUUGUAAUUGGAAUGAGUAGAUUUUAAAUCUCUUUACGAGUAUCAAUUGGAGGGCAAGUCUGGUGCCAGCAGCCGCGGUAAUUCCAGCUCCAAUAGCGUAUAUUAAAGUUGUUGCGGUUAAAAAGCUCGUAGUUGGAUUUCUGCCUUGGGCGACCGAUCCACCUUUCCUACGGGAUUGGUCGGUAUCAAGUAUGACCUUGGCUUUUUCUUGGGAUUCGUGCUCACGUACUUAACUGUGCGUUGACCGUGUUCCAAGACUUUUACUUUAAGGAAAUUAGAGUGUUUCAAGCAGGCUUAUGCCAUGAAUAC
rnacentral:ncRNA from 1 species